UGGGGAAUAUUGGGCAAUGGGCGCAAGCCUGACCCAGCAACGCCGCGUGAAGGAAGAAGGCUUUCGGGUUGUAAACUUCUUUUGUCAGGGAAGAUGAAGAGACGGUACCUGACGAAUAAGCCACGGCUAACUACGUGCC
rnacentral:rRNA from 1 species